UUCUGCGCGAGAUCAGAUUAUGAACCCAUAAAACCAAGUUGUGUAAUUAAAUGAACAGGUUCCAAUGAUAAACCAGCACGAGGGAAGAGGGAGGAAAACACAAUAUGAGGAUUUUUGAGGCACAAAAUAUCCAAGAUGGCGUCGCGGCAGAAGCGCCCCAAGUCCGGCUGGUUUUCCUCCCCAAGUUUCUCCCUCUGGCUGCACAGACCGCAGCGUCAGAGCUACUUCAGAUGGACCUUCUGGACGUUCCCGCAGACCGCCAGAAAGGAUGGUACCUUUCACUUAUGGCCCCCAACACAAAAGGACCAGAGUUCGCCUGGCUGGACCCGUCCAGACUCUACUGCAACUCGCAGGCUCUGGCAGACUGCGUCAAAGACCUUCUGGGUCCGUUUCACAGUGACCCCGUCGACCUGGUUGCCGGGAUCGACGCCAUGGGAUUUAUUCUUGGGGCUUCUGUCGCCACGACUCUUGGAAAAGGUUUCCUGGCCAUUCGUAAAGCGGGUCAUCUGUGUGUAGCGACCCAAAACCAGAACUACACAGACUACACAGGAAGAGAAAAGACUAUGGAAGUAAGACUGGAUGUGCUGAAACCAGGUCUGAGGGUCUUGCUGGUGGACCAGUGGAUAGAGACGGGCGGCACAAUGAUGGCCGCCAUCCGGCUGGUGGAGAACCUGGGAGCCACGGUCGCAGGUCAGUGUGGCAGCCGUGGCCAUCGAGAACACGGCGGGAGGGAAGUGGAUCAAGGAAAACUACAAGUUCUCCCACUGCAUCCCAGAAGGGCUGCAGAGCCAAGUGGACGGGAAACACCUGGACUCUUUCAAGAGCUUCACCAAAUAGAGGCGACCAUCAGCGAAAACGACUAAGACGCAUUUUACGUGAAAUGCUUUAAUUUGCAUAGAGAUACUGUGACGUACCAGAUCGCCGACCACGAUGACCUUGGAGAUUUUAAACCUGACACAAGGAAUGGUAGAAGAAUCAGCCGAUGAAGCAAAAAUAAUCACAUCAAGCCGAGCUCACAGAGAGCUCAGGUGUCCGUUCUCACCCCACAGUGCCGGUCCGCUGCUCCUGGCAGGCCGUCCUCACUUUAUUGUUGAAUUCUUCUGUAAUGUGAAGGGCUGCCUCCUUUCUGAAAGCCUAAAAUCAAAGGACAGGAAGAGAAAGUGAGAGCGAUGUGGAUUUUCUAAAACAAUAAAGUUGUUGCUGAUGCUCCGGCUUUUGAUUUUCACCUGAGGCAGCUGAGCGAUGACCCGGUCCCGACGAACCGGAGGAAAAACACUCAUGCCUGAAACUCUGAGAGACAUGAAGCCUCGGGGUAAAUGACGUCUGGACGAGAAAAACACAACCGUUUCAACUCAUCGGGUUUGUUGUUUCAAGCUGCUGUCAUACUAUGUUGCCAUAGUGCAGGGAUAAUGAAACUAGUGUGGGUUGUGUGGAUA